UCAAAACACUAAGAUGGUGUCCCCGUUGCAAUUCCUGGGGCUUCUGCUCCUCUGGGUUCCAGUCUCCAGGGGUGAUGUUGUGAUGACACAGUCUCCAGCUUUCCUCUCUGUGACUCCAGGGGAGAAAGUCACCAUCACCUGCCAGGCCAGUGAAGGCAUUGGCAACUACUUAUACUGGUACCAGCAGAAACCAGAUCAAGCCCCAAAGCUCCUCAUCAAGUAUGCUUCCCAGUCCAUCUCAGGGGUCCCCUCGAGGUUCAGUGGCAGUGGGUCUGGGACAGAUUUCACCUUUGCCAUCAGUAGCCUGGAAGCUGAAGAUGCUGCAACAUAUUACUGUCAGCAGGGCAAUAAGCACCCUCACACUGUGCUACAAACCAAAACAAAAAUUAGCUCAGCCUGGCGGAACAGAGAAACUGAACAAUACCCCGUUUUUAUGAUCCUUGCAGGUGCAGUUGGGGAAAUAAUUUACCAAAUACCAUCACGUAUGGCCCAUUCAGCAGAGCUGACACCCAAGAGUCAGUGCCUCAUACUUUCAUCUUUACCCACAGUAACUUUCAAGCUAGGAGAAGAGUUGUUGAAGAUUACUUCUCCUGUUUUUUUCCGUAGGUGUACAGAAACUGUCCUUUACAAGUUGGUAAAAACUGUGGAUUAUUCUUCAGGGCUACAGUAAUUCAUUUAUGACAAAAUCACUUUAAAGGGUAAAGAUUAGGAAACAAUCAGGUGAUGGCCUGGAGCUCUUUUGACAGAAGAGCCAUGGACUCAGGUUUCAGUCAUUGUGGGUUCAAAGGAAUGAGACAUUGUUCCUAUUUCCAAAGCGGCUCUGUGAAGUCUGACAUUUGUUAAAUCAGAUUAACAUUUAAGGUUCACUUUCACUGAAUAUUUGGGUUUUGAAACAUGAAACUGGUCCAUUGGGAACAGGGUUAUAA